rnacentral:rRNA from 1 species
GAGUUUGAUCGUGGCUCAGAACGAACGCUGGCGGCAUGCCUAACACAUGCAAGUCGAACGGGAUCCAGGCUUCGGCCUGGUGAGAGUGGCGGACGGGUGAGUAACGCGUGGGAACCUGCCCAAUGGUCUGGGAUAACCGCGGGAAACUGCGGCUAAUACCGGAUAAGCCCGAGAGGGGAAAGAUUUAUCGCCGAUGGAGGGGCCCGCGUCCGAUUAGGUAGUUGGUGAGGUAACGGCUCACCAAGCCGACGAUCGGUAGCUGGUCUGAGAGGAUGAUCAGCCACACUGGGACUGAGAUACGGCCCAGACUCCUACGGGAGGCAGCAGUGGGGAAUAUUGGACAAUGGGGGCAACCCUGAUCCAGCAAUGCCGCGUGAGUGAUGAAGGCCUUAGGGUUGUAAAGCUCUUUUGGCGGGGACGAUGAUGACGGUACCCGCAGAAGAAGCCCCGGCUAACUUCGUGCCAGCCGCCGCCGUAAC